rnacentral:rRNA from 1 species
UACGUAGGUGGCAAGCGUUAUCCGGAUUUAUUGGGCGUAAAGGGAACGCAGGCGGUCUUUUAAGUCUGAUGUGAAAGCCUUCGGCUUAACCGGAGUAGUGCAUUGGAAACUGGGAGACUUGAGUGCAGAAGAGGAGAGUGGAACUCCAUGUGUAGCGGUGAAAUGCUUAGAGAUCAUACAGAACACCGAUUGCGAAGGCAGCUUACCAAGCUACUUCUGACGUUGAGGCACGAAAGCGUGGGGAGCAAACAGG